rnacentral:rRNA from 1 species
GGAUGGACUCGCGGCCUAUCAGCUAGUUGGUGAGGUAACGGCUCACCAAGGCGUCGACGGGUAGCCGGCCUGGGAGGGUGACCGGCUACACUGGGACUGAGACACGGCCCAGACUCCUACGGGAGGCAGCAGUGGGGAAUAUUGCACAAUGGGCGCAAGCCUGAUGCAGCAACGCCGCGUGGGGGACGAAGGCCUUCGGGUUGUAAACCUCUUUUAGUAGGGAAGAAGCGAAAGUGACGGUACCUGCAGAAAAAGCACCGGCUAACUACGUGCCAGCAGCCGCGGUAAUACGUAGGAUGCGAGCGUUGUCCGGAAUUAUUGGGCGUAAAGAGCUCGUAGGUGGUUUGUCACGUCUGCUGUGAAAACCCGAGGCUCAACCUCGGGCCUGCAGUGGGUACGGGCAGACUAGAGUGCGGUAGGGGAGAACGGAAUUCCUGGUGUAGCGGUGGAAUGCGCAGAUAUCAGGAGGAACACCGAUGGCGAAGGCAGUUCUCUGGGCCGUAACUGACGCUGAGGAGCGAAAGCGUGGGGAGCGAACAGGAUUAGAUACCCUGGUAGUCCACGCCGUAAACGUUGGGCGCUAGAUGUGGGGACCAUUCCACGGUUUCCGCGUCGUAGCUAACGCAUUAAGCGCCCCGCCUGGGGAGUACGGCCGCAAGGCUAAAACUCAAAGGAAUUGACGGGGGCCCGCACAAGCGGCGGAGCAUGCGGAUUAAUUCGAUGCAACGCGAAGAACCUUACCAAGGCUUGACAUAUGCGAGAACGCUCUAGAAAUAGAGAACUCUUUGGACACUCGUAUACAGGUGGUGCAUGGUUGUCGUCAGCUCGUGUCGUGAGAUGUUGGGUUAAGUCCCGCAACGAGCGCAACCCUCGUCGCAUGUUGCCAGCACGUAAUGGUGGGAACUCAUGUGAGACUGCCGGGGUCAACUCGGAGGAAGGUGGGGAUGACGUCAAAUCAUCAUGCCCCUUAUGUCUUGGGCUCCACGCAUGCUACAAUGGCCGGUACAAAGGGCUGCGAAACCGCAAGGUGGAGCGAAUCCCAAAAAGCCGGUCUCAGUUCGGAUUGAGGUCUGCAACUCGACCUCAUGAAGUCGGAGUCGCUAGUAAUCGCAGAUCAGCAACGCUGCGGUGAAUAC